UGGCGUGGGGGCACCCUGACCGCAAUGCCGCGUGAGUGAAGAAGGCCUUCGGGUUGUAAAGCUCUUUUGUCAGGGAAGAAACACCGGCUCUAACACAGUCCGGGAAUUACGGUACCUGAAGAAUAAGCACCGGCUAACUACGUGCCAGCAGCCGCGGUAAUACGUAGGGUGCAAGCGUUAAUCGGAAUUACUGGGCGUAAAGCGUGCGCAGGCGGUUAUACAAGACAGGCGUGAAAUCCCCGGGCUUAACCUGGGAAUGGCGCCUGUGACUGUAUAGCUAGAGUGUGUCAGAGGGGGGUAGAAUUCCACGUGUAGCAGUGAAAUGCGUAGAUAUGUGGAGGAAUACCAAUGGCGAAGGCAGCCCCCUGGGAUAACACUGACGCUCAUGCACGAAA
rnacentral:rRNA from 1 species